rnacentral:ncRNA from 1 species
AUAAAAAUUAUGAUAGAGAAUAAGUAGAUAUAACUAUAAUUCAAAGCGAGUGGAAGUUGGUGAAAAUCCACAUUUAUAUUAUAUUGAAACUCACUCUUAAAUUGCAAUCUGAACGCUUGUUUAGUAGGAUUCCCCGGCAUAAAGUCGUUAAAUUUUCAUGAGUAAUAAAUUUGGGUGGUACCGCGAUAGACCUCGCCCCAUAG